rnacentral:rRNA from 1 species
UACGUAGGGAGCAAGCGUUGUCCGGAAUCAUUGGGCGUAAAGCGCGCGUAGGCGGCCCCGUAAGUCCGCUGUGAAAGUCAAAGGCUCAACCUUUGAAAGCCGGUGGAUACUGUGGGGCUAGAGUACGGAAGAGGCGAGUGGAAUUCCUGGUGUAGCGGUGGAAUGCGCAGAUAUCAGGAGGAACACCAAUAGCGAAGGCAGCUCGCUGGGACGUCACUGACGCUGAGGCGCGAAAGCGUGGGGAGCAAACGGG